rnacentral:lncRNA from 1 species
CGUGCAUAAAGGGGCGCCGGUGGGGCUCAGUCUGGUGAAGCAUCUGACUUCGGCUCAGGCCGUGAUCUCUCAGUUCGGGAGUUCAAGCCCCGCAUCGGCUAUCUGCUACUAGUAUGACCUCCGCUUCGGAUCCUCUGCUUCCCUCUCUCUCUGGCCCUCCCCUGACUGUGUUCUUCCUCUCUCUCAAAAAUAAAUAUUCAUUGAGGAAAAAAAAAUUUUAACAAAAAGGCAAAACAAAAAGAAUCAAAGACAUGCAUAAAGAUGUAGGGGUAAGGAUAUUCACUGUAGCGUAACGUAAAAUAGCAAAUGUUUAGAAACUAUCUAAUACUGAUACAGUAGGGCUGGCAGAUGUCAUCUCUACAGGAAAUGAUUAGUGAGCCCCACUCUGGGCUUAGUGUCCCUCCUGUGUGCUUCUAAGCAUCUUAGCAUCCCCUGUCUUGAAACUUCAGUAAUGAAAGAAUCUUCUUGCUUGCCUCUCUCCCCCUGUAAGGUUGCUCUUAUUUCCCUCAUUUUGCGGAUGAGGAAACGUGGGCUCAGAAGGCCUGUGCAGCCCCCCAUUGGGGUUGAGGCGAGAGUUUAUACCAAGGCACAGAAGUGGGCAAGGUGCCGCCAUGCUGGGGAAAGACUUGCUCCUCCCCAGGCUCAUGUCUCAAGUGCAGAAGGGAAGCAGGUGGCAGGGCAGGAAGGAGGGUGUUCGGGCUGCUAACCGAGGGUGAGUGAAGAGGGUAUUGCCAUUCUAGCUCUCUUGUGAGAGGCUCUUCCACUUUUUUUCCCUCUCCUGAACAAUGACCAACUGGUUUUUGUUUUUGUUUGGUGUUGGGGGGUUUUCUGACUUGAGAUCCUUUGGUUACUGAGCUUCUUGCCACUAAGACUGGUCACUUCCUAUCUAAUUCAGAUAUGGCAGAGACCUUAGGGGAACAAAAUCAGAAGGAGGAAGGAGCCUUGUCCGGGCAAGUGGGGUUAGCCAGGGAAGUCAUUUUGGGAGGAGAGUUCUGAGAAGAGAGUGAGCCUGCUUUAGGAAGCUGGAAGUCAGAGCCACACGGAUUCUUGUAAACCAGAACCCAGUACUGGAUUGAGGGGCCUGGGCAUGUCUUCUCAGCAAUAAGCACAUGUCCACUGAGGUCAAUUUAAGUGUUUCUUCGUUUCUAAUUUUAAAUUGGCAUCUCCUGGGGGCCCCUGGAUGGCUUAGUCAGUGUCCGUUAAGCAUC